AACGAACGCUGGCGGCAGGCUUAACACAUGCAAGUCGAACGCCCCUUCGGGGGAGUGGCAGACGGGUGAGUAACGCGUGGGAAUCUACCCAGUUCUGCGGAACAACAGUUGGAAACGACUGCUAAUACCGCAUACGCCCUACGGGGGAAAGAUUUAUCGGAAUUGGAUGAGCCCGCGUAAGAUUAGCUAGUUGGUGAGGUAAUGGCUCACCAAGGCGACGAUCUUUAGCUGGUCUGAGAGGAUGAUCAGCCACACUGGGACUGAGACACGGCCCAGACUCCUACGGGAGGCAGCAGUGGGGAAUAUUGGACAAUGGGCGCAAGCCUGAUCCAGCCAUGCCGCGUGAGUGAUGAAGGCCUUAGGGUUGUAAAGCCCUUUCAGUAGGGAAGAUAAUGACGGUACCUACAGAAGAAGCCCCGGCUAACUUCGUGCCAGCCGCCGCAGUAAGAC
rnacentral:rRNA from 1 species